rnacentral:rRNA from 1 species
AUUGAACGCUGGCGGCAGGCCUAACACAUGCAAGUCGAGCGGAUGAAGGGAGCUUGCUCCUGGAUCCAGCGGCGGACGGGUGAGUAAUGCCUAGGAAUCUGCCUGCUAGUGGGGGAUAACGUCCGGAAACGGGUGCUAAUACCGCAUACGUCCUGAGGGUGAAAGUGGGGGAUCUUCGGACCUUACGCUAUCAGAUGAGCCUAGGUCGGAUUAGCUAGUUGGUGGGGUAAAGGCCUACCAAGGCGACGAUCCGUAACUGGUCUGAGAGGAUGAUCAGUCACACGGGAGCGGAGACACGGACCAGGCUCCUGCGGGAGGCAGCAGUGGGGAAUGGUGGACAAUGGGCGAAAACCUGAUACAGCCAGGGCGCGUGUGUGAAGGAGGUCUUCGGAUUGUGAAGCACUUUAAGUUGGGAGAAAGGGCAGUAGGUUGAUACCUUGCUGUUUUGACGGUACCGGCAGAAGAAGCACCGGCUAACUUCGUG